rnacentral:rRNA from 1 species
AAUAGAUACCCGGGUAGUCCACGCCGUAAACGAUGAGUGCUAAGUGUUAGGGGGUUUCCGCCCCUUAGUGCUGCAGCUAACGCAUUAAGCACUCCGCCUGGGGAGUACGGUCGCAAGACUGAAACUCAAAGGAAUUGACGGGGGCCCGCACAAGCGGUGGAGCAUGUGGUUUAAUUCGAAGCAACGCGAAGAACCUUACCAGGUCUUGACAUCCCAUUGACCACUAUGGAGACAUAGUUUUCCCUUCGGGGACAACGGUGACAGGUGGUGCAUGGUUGUCGUCAGCUCGUGUCGUGAGAUGUUGGGUUAAGUCCCGCAACGAGCGCAACCCUUGUUCUUAGUUGCCAUCAUUUAGUUGGGCACUCUAAGGAGACUGCCGGUGACAAACCGGAGGAAGGUGGGGAUGACGUCAAAUCAUCAUGCCCCUUAUGACCUGGGCUACACACGUGCUACAAUGGACGGUACAAACGGUUGCCAACCCGCGAGGGGGAGCUAAUCCGAUAAAACCGUUCUCAGUUCGGAUUGUAGGCUGCAACUCGCCUACAUGAAAGCC